GGUUGAUCAGUGGCGAACGGGUGAGUAACACGUGAGUAACCUGCCCUUGACUCUGGGAUAACUCCGGGAAACCGGGGCUAAUACCGGAUACGAGACGCGACCGCAUGGUCGGCGUCUGGAAAGUUUUUCGGUCAAGGAUGGACUCGCGGCCUAUCAGCUUGUUGGUGAGGUAAUGGCUCACCAAGGCGUCGACGGGUAGCCGGCCUGAGAGGGCGACCGGCCACACUGGGACUGAGACACGGCCCAGACUCCUACGGGAGGCAGCAGUGGGGAAUAUUGCACAAUGGGCGAAAGCCUGAUGCAGCGACGCCGCGUGAGGGAUGAAGGCCUUCGGGUUGUAAACCUCUUUCAGUAGGGAAGAAGCGAAAGUGACGGUACCUGCAGAAGAAGCGCCGGCUAACUACGUGCCAGCAGCCGCGGUAAUACGUAGGGCGCAAGCGUUGUCCGGAAUUAUUGGGCGUAAAGAGCUCGUAGGCGGUUUGUCGCGUCUGGUGUGAAAACUCAAGGCUCAACCUUGAGCUUGCAUCGGGUACGGGCAGACU
rnacentral:rRNA from 1 species